rnacentral:tRNA from 1 species
GGGCCCAUUGUCCAAUGGCUAAGAUACCUGACUUGCACUCAGGAGAUCCGCGUUCGAUUCGCGGUGGGUCCA